GUGACCGCGUGCUUUUUGUAGAACGGACCAGCGAGUUACGGUAUGUAGCAAGGUUAAUAUCUUAAGGAUAGGAGCCGUAGGGAAACCGAGUCUUAAUAGGGCGAAAGUUGCAUGCUGUAGACCCGAAACCGUGUGACCUACCCAUGUCCAGGGUGAAGCGUGAGUAAAAUCACGUGGAGGCCCGAACCGGUGUCUGUUGAAAAAGGCUCGGAUGAGGUGUGGGUAGCGGAGAAAUUCCAAUCGAACACGGAGAUAGCUGGUUCUCCUCGAAAUAGCUUUAGGGCUAGCGUCAAGUGAUGAAUAGUGGAGGUAGAGCACUGAAUAGGCUAGGGGGCGAUAAGCUUACCGAACCUUAUCAAACUCCGAAUGCCAUAUAUUUUAGCUUGGCAGUCAGACUGCGUGAGAUAAGUUUCGUAGUCAAAAGGGAAACAGCCCAGAUCAUCAGCUAAGGUCCCAAAGUGUAAGUUAAGUGGAAAAGGAUGUGGGAUUUCUAAGACAACUAGGAUGUUGGCUUAGAAGCAGCCACUCAUUUAAAGAGUGCGUAAUAGCUCACUAGUCGAGUGAUUGUGCGCCGAAAAUAACCGGGGCUAAAACUUACCACCGAAGCUAUGGCAAUGCGAAUGCAUUGGGUAGAGGAGCAUUGUGUACGAAGCGAAGCUAGAGCGGAAGCGAUAGUGGAUUGUACACAAGAGAGAAUGCUGGUAUGAGUAGCGAAAGUUAGGUGAGAAUCCUAACCAUCGAAAGUCUAAGGUUUCCUGAGGAAGGUUCGUCCGCUCAGGGUAAGUCGGGACCUAAGCCGAGGCCGAAAGGCGUAGGCGAUGGACAACUGGUGGAGAUUCCAGUACCACCUUUAAGCGUUUGAGAGAAGGAGUGACACAGGAGGAUAAGCUAACCGCUCGAAUGGAAGAGAGCGGCCAAGCGUCAAGUAGGGAAGCAUAGUAAAAUGCGUGCUUCUGUUAACUAUGAGGCGUGACGGGGACCGAAAAUAAGUAGGGAAGUAGCGGAUUUCACACUGUCGAGAAAAGCUUCUAUCGAGCAAGAAGGUGCCCGUACCGUAAACCGACACAGGUAGACGAGGAGAGAAUCCUAAGAUGAUCGGGAGAAGUGUUGUUAAGGAACUCGGCAAAAUAACCCCGUAACUUCGGGAGAAGGGGAGCCUACCCCACUAGAUGGGAAGGCUGCAGAGAAAUGGCCCAAGCGACUGUUUACCAAAAACACAGGUUUCUGCUAAAUCGAAAGAUGAAGUAUAGGAGCUGACGCCUGCCCGGUGCUGGAAGGUUAAGGGGACUUGUUAGCUGUAAAGCGAAGCAAUGAACUUAAGCCCCAGUAAACGGCGGCCGUAACUAUAACGGUCCUAAGGUAGCGAAAUUCCUUGUCAGGUAAGUUCUGACCCGCACGAAAGGCGUAACGAUUUGGGCACUGUCUCAACAACACACCCGGUGAAAUUGUAGUACUCGUGAAGAUGCGAGUUACCCGCGACAGGACGGAAAG
rnacentral:rRNA from 1 species